UGCCAGAGCCGCUGUCUGUCGCCAUGCC
rnacentral:sRNA from 1 species